GCCCGGCUAGCUCAAUCGGUAGAGCGUGAGACUCUUAGCUUACGAGUACACAAUCUCAAGGUUGCGGGUUCGACCCCCGCGUUGGGCU
rnacentral:tRNA from 1 species